AUUGAACGCUGGCGGCAGGCCUAACACAUGCAAGUCGAGCGAGCGGCGGACGGGUGAGUAAUGUAUGGGGACUGCCCGAUAGAGGGGGAUAACUACUGGAAACGGUAGCUAAUACCGCAUACUAUCGGAUAACCCAUAUGGGAUUAGCUAGUUGGUGAGGUAAUGGCUCACCAAGGCGACGAUCCCUAGCUGGUCUGAGAGGAUGAUCAGCCCUCAUGGGAAUAGGACACGGCCCAGACUCGUACGGAGGCAGAAGUGGUGAAUAGUGCACAAUGGGCGGAAGCCUGAUUCAGCCGUGCCGCGUGUAUGAAGAAGGCCUUCGGGUUGUACAGUACUUUCAGUCGGGAGGCGUUACCGACAGAAGAAUCACCGGCUAACUCCGUGCCAGCAGACGCGGUAAUAC
rnacentral:rRNA from 1 species